GGCUCCACGUCCAUCGUGGAGUCCAACGUGGGGCUAGAACUCAUGACCCUGAGAUCAACACCUGAGCCGUCAUCAAGACCCAGGUGCCCCUUGUCUGAUUGAAUUCUCACUACUGUUCUAUGAGCUGCUUCUGUGAACUAUUCCAGUGGUUUGAAGAAUACAACAUUCAAAAUCACAUAGACUGUGUUCAGAUUCAAGCUCAACAAAAAAUUGCACAGCUCUGUGACCUUAGCACUCUAGGUGUUUACAUGUCUGCGGGACUGCUAUCAACCUUCAGAUCCCAUUUUUGCAACCCACGGCUCAGAUGAAGGAAGUAACCCACACCGUCCACACCACCACGCUUCACCUUUGUUGCCACCUUACGCCCGCACUCCAGACAGCUUGUCCAUUGAGAAUUCUCUCAGCUGCAUCAGUACAUACAGUUCCUGAUACUCUGCUCCUGGGAAGAUGGAUUGACUUCUCUGGUUGAUAAGUGUGGGACAGAAUACGAGGUGCGGCCCUUUGCCCCCUGGGAGUGACAGCCGACAGAACGCAGGCGCUCUGUCCUGCUCUGCCAUCAUGUCCGUCUUCCUCAGGCUGCCUUGGCCCUGCCAAUGGAUGCACUGAUCACUGCUUCUUUCUGCCUGCUCCGGGGGUUCAACAUUAGCUGGUCCACUGGGUUGAAGAACCCAGAGCAGCAUCUAACAACUGCCUCAAUAGGUAAUAAAGCUGGUGUGUUGGC